rfam:Oryza rufipogon genomic scaffold, chr04
AAUAAAUGCAUACAUGAGUUUCUGUGUCUAAUUUUGAUCGUCCGUCUUAUUUAAUUUUUUUUUAUGAUUAGUAUUUUUAUUGUUAUAAGAUUAUAAAACAUAAAUAAUAUUUUGUGCAUGACUUAUUUUUUUUAGUUUUUUUUAAAAAAAUAAAUAAGACGGACGAUUAAAAUUGGACACGAAAACUCAUGACUACGUUUAUU